GCUGGGUGUGGUGUUGUGCACCUGUAGUCUCAGCUACCUGGGAGGCUGAGGCAGGAGGAUUGCUUGAGCCUGGGAAGAUGAGGCUGCAGUGAGCCAUGUUCAUGCCACUGGUACUCUAGCCUGGGUGACAAAGCAAGACCCUGUCUCAA
ensembl:misc_RNA Metazoa_SRP Metazoan signal recognition particle RNA